rnacentral:rRNA from 1 species
AGACCGGCGCACGGGUGCGUAACGCGUAUGCAAUCUACCUUUCACAGAGGGAUAGCCCAGAGAAAUUUGGAUUAAUACCUCAUAGUAUAGCAGUUUCGCAUGAAACCACUAUUAAAGUCACAACGGUGAAAGAUGAGCAUGCGUCCCAUUAGCUAGUUGGUAAGGUAACGGCUUACCAAGGCAACGAUGGGUAGGGGUCCUGAGAGGGAGAUCCCCCACACUGGUACUGAGACACGGACCAGACUCCUACGGGAGGCAGCAGUGAGGAAUAUUGGACAAUGGGCGCAAGCCUGAUCCAGCCAUGCCGCGUGCAGGAUGACGGUCCUAUGGAUUGUAAACUGCUUUUAUACGAGAAGAAACCCUCCGACGUGUCGGAGCUUGACGGUAUCGUAAGAAUAAGGAUCGGCUAACUCCGUGCCAGCAGCCGCGGUAAUACGGAGGAUCCAAGCGUUAUCCGGAAUCAUUGGGUUUAAAGGGUCCGUAGGCGGUCAGGUAAGUCAGUGGUGAAAGCCCAUCGCUCAACGGUGGAACGGCCAUUGAUACUGUCUGACUUGAAUUAUUAGGAAGUAACUAGAAUAUGUAGUGUAGCGGUGAAAUGCUUAGAGAUUACAUGGAAUACCAAUUGCGAAGGCAGGUUACUACUAAUGGAUUGACGCUGAUGGACG